rnacentral:rRNA from 1 species
UACAGAGGUCCCAAGCGUUGUUCGGAUUCACUGGGCGUAAAGGGUGCGUAGGUGGCGAGGUAAGUUUGAUGUGAAAUCUCCGGGCUUAACCCGGAAACUGCAUUGAAUACUAUCUUGCUCGAGGGUUGGAGGGGGGACUGGAAUUCUCGGUGUAGCAGUGAAAUGCGUAGAUAUCGAGAGGAACACCAGUGGCGAAGGCGAGUCCCUGGGCUAACACUGACGCUCAGGCACGAAAGCGUGGGGAGCAAACAGG